CCCAGUUCGGAUUGUAGUCUGCAACCCGACUACAUGAAGCUGGAAUCGCUAGUAAUCGCGGAUCAGAAUGCCGCGGUGAAUACGUUCCCGGGUCUUGUACACACCGCCCGUCACACCAUGGGAGUCGGAAAUGCCCGAAGUCUGUGACCCAACCUUAGGGAGGGAGCAGCCGAAGGCAGGUCGGAUGACUGGGGUGAAGUCGUAACAAGGUAGC
rnacentral:rRNA from 1 species